AGACGGAGGGUGCAAGCGUUAAUCGGAAUUACUGGGCGUAAAGCGCUCGUAGGCGGCUUGUUAAGUCGGAUGUGAAAGCCCCGGGCUCAACCUGGGAACUGCAUUCGAUACUGGCAGGCUAGAGUAUAGUAGAGGCAAGUGGAAUUCCGGGUGUAGCGGUGAAAUGCGUAGAUAUCCGGAGGAACAUCAGUGGCGAAGGCGACUUGCUGGACUAAUACUGACGCUGAGGAGCGAAAGCGUGGGGAGCAAACGGGAUUAGAUACCCCGGUAGUCC
rnacentral:rRNA from 1 species